UGGGGCGUAGCCAAGUCGGUAAGGCAGCGGCCUUUGAAGCCGCCAUGCGUUGGUUCGAGUCCAUCCGCCCCAG
rnacentral:tRNA from 1 species